UACGAAGGGGGCUAGCGUUGCUCGGAAUUACUGGGCGUAAAGCGCACGUAGGCGGCUUUCUAAGUCGGGGGUGAAAUCCUGGAGCUCAACUCCAGAACUGUCUUCGAUACUGGAGAGCUCGAGUCCGGGAGAGGUGAGUGGAACUGCGAGUGUAGAGGUGAAAUUCGUAGAUAUUCGCAAGAACACCAGUGGCGAAGGCGGCUCACUGGCCCGGUACUGACGCUGAGGUGCGAAAGCGUGGGGAGCAAACAGG
rnacentral:rRNA from 1 species